rnacentral:lncRNA from 1 species
CUUCUUCAGCCUGACUUGCGCCACAAGGGUCAGAAUCAUCAAACACCACCAGCACCCACACACACAGCAAGCAGGACCGAGCUGGGGCUUUCCGGGCUCCCACACCUGCCCAGAGCGAACCCUCCAGAGGCUGCUGUCCUUCCUUUGUGUCUCCCACAUCUCUGCUUUAGGACUGGACUAAGCUCCACCUGCCUAGGAGGCUAUCAACUCUAAGACGGACAGAGUUCACGUUCAAUUGAAUUGUUCUAACACUGGAGCGAUGCCCAACACCAAAAGGAUCUCAGUGGAUAUUUGCUGCAUGAUUUACUGAAUGAAUGAAUAAAAAGGCACAGUGCUAGACUCUGAAACAUCAAAGAUGACUAACAUUGCAUAUUUCCACAGAGAGUCAUAUCCUAUGUUGGAAAUGUAAACCCUGCAGCCAGUACCCAGACAUGUAAACCACAAUUUUGUUGUUGUUGUUGUUUGUUUUAGGGGACAGGGUUUCCUUGUACAGCUCUGGUUGUCCUGGAACUCACUUUGUAGACCAGGCUGGCCUGGAACUCACAGAGACACCCCCAGUCCCACCUCUGCCAUGCCUGCUCUACUGAAGAGUACUGAGAUUAAAGGCAUGCACUACUACUGC